rnacentral:rRNA from 1 species
GUGGGGAAUAUUGCGCAAUGGGGGAAACCCUGACGCAGCAACGCCGCGUGAAGGAUGAAGGUUUUCGGAUUGUAAACUUCUUUGACGAGGGACGAAUAAAUGACGGUACCUCGAAAACAAGCCACGGCUAACUACGUGCCAGCAGCCGCGGUAAUACGUAGGUGGCGAGCGUUGUCCGGAUUUACUGGGUGUAAAGGGCGUGUAGGCGGGACUGCAAGUCAGAUGUGAAAUCUGUGGGCUUAACUCACAAACUGCAUUUGAAACUGUGGUUCUUGAGUGAUGGAGAGGCAGGCGGAAUUCCGUGUGUAGCGGUGAAAUGCGUAGAUAUACGGAGGAACACCAGUGGCGAAGGCGGCCUGCUGGACAUUAACUGACGCUGAGGCGCGAAAGCGUGGGGAGCAAACAGGAUUAGAAACCCUGGUAGUCC